rnacentral:rRNA from 1 species
UACGUAGGGGGCAAGCGUUGUCCGGAUUUAUUGGGCGUAAAGAGCGUGUAGGCGGCCAUACAGGUCAGCUGUGAAAACUCGAGGCUCAACCUCGAGACGUCGGUUGAAACCGUAUGGCUAGAGUCCGGAAGAAGAGAGUGGAAUUCCCGGUGUAGCGGUGAAAUGCGCAGAUAUCGGGAAGAACACCCGUGGCGAAGGCGGCUCUCUGGGACGGUACUGACGCUGAGACGCGAAAGCGUGGGGAGCGAACAGG